ACUCUUUGUGAUAGAAAUUUUCGUAAAUUCUGCCAUAAGUUUAGUAUUUCAGUUAUAACUUUCUUCUCAGAACUUCUAUUGUUGGAUUCCAUCGUCACGCAUUCUGAUUAUUUUCCACCUACAGAUCGAUCACUCGGUGGUGGAGAGCUUCGCAGAGAAAGGCAAAACGGUCAUAACAUCAAGGGUGUAUCCAAAGCUAGCAGUAAUGGACAAAGCACAUCUGUUCGUGUUCAACAAUGGCACGGAAGAGAUCACUGUGGAUAUGCUGUCGGCUUGGGACAUGAAGAAGCCAAUCAUGAAUGUUCCUGUAGCCGAGGGAGUUGCUAAGAAGCCUGCCAAGUCUGAACUGUAAUUUGUUCUUUUACUUGUAAUUUUCUAGAGUAUCUUUACGAUGUAUUAUUGGAUACUCAAUUGAAAUGUUUACAAGCUUCUGAUUUUGGGCUUCUUCUCCCGAUAAUUUGAAAGCUAGCACUUGCCUAUCUAAACCGCUCUCGUAAAAGAAAUCCAAUUUGAUUUCUGUCUGUGUUUUGGAAACUGGUGUUGGCUUAUCAUCUAUACACAAAUUUUAAGAGCAAACUUAUUAGUCAUGCAAAAGUUUAUUGGUGUCGUUGGACUUGAUACGCUUACGAGUUAGUUUGAGUUUAAUAGCCAACUCGAAUUAGUAUUAAUUCGAGUAUAUGAUUCUUUAGUGUACUCAAUAUAACAACAUAUACAAUAUAUGAAUCAUAUGUUGUAUUAUUGAGUAUACGAUAGAUCAUAUGUUGUAUCAUAUGUCAAUAAUUGAACAUAUACAAUAAAUCUUAUGUUAUCUUACAUUGUCUUUCACAUUUGUUACAUAACUUACUUGGGGUUUCUUAAUCUCGUUUGAUUUAUGAAUGAAAAAUAGGCGAUGAUGUGUCUGGACUUAUGAAAAGAAAAAACAUAUAUAAUUUGUGAUUGUAUUAAUGAAAAUUCAAGUGGUAAAUUAUUUAAUUAAGUUAGUAUAAUUUAGGAUAGUUUGUUUUUUUACCUUCAUACAUCAAUGUCUUUUAGUGUACAAACUUCAAAUUCAACUUAAAGUGGACUUAUGAGGAGGUUUAAUCUCAGUGAGCAAAAUUCGAAUUUGACUCGUCAACUCGAGAAUUUAAAUUUAUGGAUGAGAGGUUGGCUAAUUUCACUCAAGGAGCACCAGGUCAGGCCACCAACGGCGAUGAUCGCACAACCGACGACGACAGUGUUUGUAAUAUAUAAAAACAAUGCAACGAGUGAGUGUCCCAGUGGUAGGACAAGGAGAUUAUUGACCACGAAAACACAGAUUCGAUCAACCGCUUCGUUGAAAAUUUUCUCAGAGACAUUCGCACCCGGCUUCGACUUAAUAAACAGAAUAGUGCGCUUCAGGGUUUUGCAAUCUUAUGAAUCGUUAUUGAUUUGUUUCUAUUUCAGUUGAAACCAAGUUCAUAUCCGACCGGAUCGAAAUCAAAACUUUCAAUCAACUCAACGGAGCACAUUCAAAUGUGGCAUAGGAAUGGAGAGCAUUGCCCAGAGGGAACAGUAGCAAUCUUGAGACCAACGAGGACAGAUAUUCCUCUGAAGAACAACUCAAUAGACUUGGGCAAAGAUACCUUUCCCGAGGUACAUUGAUUUCAUCAAAACCGCACCAAAAACCAGUCAAAUCGGUUUUAAAACCACUUUGAGCUGCUCUAUUUCGGUCGAAUUUGUGGUUUUUCGAAUUUCAUUAUCAAGUCUAUUUCCGACCCGUAUGUGAAUCUGGUUUGAUUAUAGUUGGCGACGGCGUUUUUGUCGAGGUCGAGUUACUAUGGACUCAAUGUUGACAUGACCGUACGGAACCCACGAACACAACCAAAUGAAUUGAGCUCGUCUCAAGUUUGGCUAACCGAUGGUGGAGGGUCGAAAGCCAAGCCGAUUCAAGCUACCAUGUUGAUAGCUGAAUUAGUUUUGACCAAAAGCCAACCAACCAAUCCAAUGCUUAAUACUUUUGAUUUCUUCCAUCUCUAAGAAUAACAACGAAAUCGUAGGCAGGGUAAUUUUCCUGGUCCUUUUAAUAGUAUAGAAAACUCUACAGCUUGUAACUUUCUGUAAUAUAAAUUGACAGAGAGGGAAAGAACAGCAAGAACACUUUAAACUAUUGAAUGAUGGGAGUGAAAACAACAAUCCCUUCAAUGCUGAAGGCCAUCGCCUUUUGUUUCGUUGCAGUAACCAUAAUCGGAGUCGAAGGUUCUCAUAAAAUAUACAGGGAGUUGCAGUCUGUCCCUGCUAAAAAGGUCGAGCAAGUUCACCGAACUGGGUAUCAUUUUCAGCCUCCUAAGCACUGGAUCAACGGUUCGUACGUUGUUGUUACUAUUUGUACAGUUUGUCGAUAUUUUAUGGAUUCAAUCUUCGGCGAAGAACAUAAAUAUUCUCACUAAUUUAAGUUGCUUUUCCCCCUCAUGUCAUGAUCUGGAUCUCCAAAUCUCAAUCGGAUAACAGAUCCAAAUGGUAAGCCCUAAUUCUUUCCCCUUUCCGUGUUGUUCAAGAAACCUUGCGUCACCCUUCCUUGCAAAACAAGUAAAAAUUUGUAUUCAUGAAAUCAAACAGGCCCAAUGUUCUUCAAUGGCUUCUACCAUUUGUUUUACCAAUACAACCCUAAAGGAGCAGUGUGGGGAAACAUAGUUUGGGCCCAUUCGGUUUCGAAGGACCUCAUAAACUGGGAGGCCCUCGAGCCCGCAAUCGAAGCCACAAAGCCAUUUGAUGCCAAAGGCUGUUGGUCCGGAUCCGCCACAAUCUUACCGGGAAACAAGCCCGUUCUCUUCUACACGGGAAUCGACAAGAAAAAACGCCAGCUCCAAAACUACGCCAUUCCCAAGAACGAAUCAGAUCCGUACCUCCGCGAGUGGGUCAAGCCGGAUAAGGGAAACCCGUUCGUUGAACCGGACCCUUCCGUCAACGCCAGCGCCUUCCGUGACCCGACCACUGCCUGGUUCAACAAAGGCAUGUGGAACACGAUCAUCGGCAGCAAGCAUGACUUGCUUGGGAUCGCGUACUUGUACAAGAGUAAAGAUUUUAAGAAAUGGACAAAGGCAGAGAAACCUCUCCACCAGAAAGAGGGGACGGGUAUGUGGGAGUGUCCGGAUUUCUACCCGGUGUCCACCACAGGAGAGAAAGGGCUGGACACUUCGGUUGUUGGGAAGGACGUGAAGCACGUUUUUAAAGUGAGUUUGGACUUGACGAGGUUUGAGUAUUACACUAUAGGAACUUACGACGUGAAGAACGAUAAGUAUAUUCCGGACGAAGGCUCGAUCGACAGCUGGGCCGGAAUCAGAUAUGACUAUGGAAACUUCUAUGCUUCAAAGUCGUUCUUCGAUUCAAAGAAGCAACGUAGGGUUUUGUGGGGUUGGGCUAAUGAGUCCGAUGACCCUCUUCGUGACCAGGACAAGGGAUGGGCCGGUAUUCAGGUAUAUAUAAUUUCCACUAUAUUAUUCAUACAAGGCAACACUACGGCACCCCACCAAAAGUGACGAUUAUGUUUAUCCACAUACAUUCGACAAUCGUUUGUGUUCAACGAGUGAUUAGUCAUUGUUAUCGAUGACGAUGUGCAGCUAAUCCCGAGGACGGUGAGCCUAGACAAAAGUGGGAAGCAACUUCUGCAGUGGCCGGUUGAAGAGCUUAACGAACUAAGAAGCUCGAAGCCAAUUCGAAUCGAGUCCAAACAAAUCAAGAAAGGUGAAAACAUCAAAGUAAAACAAACACUAACAGCAGCACAGGCUGACGUGGAGGUGACCUUCUCAUUCAAAGACCUAUCCAAAGCAGAGCCCUUCGAUCCCAAAUGGGCCGACCUUCCAGCCCAAGAUGUCUGCAAGAUCAAGGGCUCGACAGUGGAAGGUGGGCUUGGGCCUUUUGGGCUUCUAACUUUGGCAUCCGAGAAGCUGGAGGAGUACACUCCGGUCAUGUUCAGGGUGUUCAAAAAAGAGAAAACUCAUGUUGUUCUCUUCUGCUCUGAUGCCACCAGGUUUCAACUUUUUAUCAACUAUCACGUCUCGUCUCAAUAAUUGAGUCAAGUUCUCUCAAAUAGAAUAUUUCUCAGAAGAAUGUGAAGUUUGCAAUUUUUUACAUUUAAAACAAUUACAUGUGGAUCAUAAAAAACUAUGAUGGCAUACUAUAUACACUUACACCCCAAUAAUUCGAGUUAUAUUGGGUUCGUAAUAAUCAUUAUCAUUGUGAUACUUUGGAAUCAUUUCUUUCAGCUCUACUCUUACCCAAGAAGAUAAGUUGUACAAGCCAUCAUUUGCUGGAUAUGUGGAUGUUGAUUUGUCUGUGAGCAAGAAGAUUUCCCUCAGAAGUUUGGUAAAUUUUCUCUCAAUGCUUAGUUUAGAAGUUGACGGCCUAUCGACAAGAUAGUCAUCCGCCAUUUAUCUUUCUUCGGCCAUUGCAUAAAUCUUUUGAAAUGCAACUGUUACCUUAUAGUGUUGUUGGAUUUCGUCACACACUCUGAUUUGAUUUCCAACUACAGAUCGAUCACUCGGUGGUGGAGAGCUUCGCAGAAGGAGGGAAGACGGUGAUAACGUCUAGGGUGUAUCCAACAGUAGCAGUAAUGGACAAAGCACACCUGUUCGUGUUCAACAAUGGCACAGAAGAGAUUAAGGUUGAUAUGCUGUCGGCUUGGGACAUGAAG
rnacentral:lncRNA from 1 species